UACAGAGGGGGCAAGCGUUAUUCGGAAUUAUUGGGCGUAAAGGGCGCGUAGGCGGCCUUGCAAGUGACGGGUGAAAUCCCUCGGCUUAACCGAGGAACUGCCUGUCAAACUGCAUGGCUUGAGACCGGGAGAGGUGAGUGGAAUUCCCAGUGUAGCGGUGAAAUGCGUAGAUAUUGGGAAGAACACCGGAGGCGAAGGCGGGUUGCUGGGCCGACACUGACGCUGAGGCGCGAAAGCCAGGGGAGCAAACGGG
rnacentral:rRNA from 1 species